GACAGAGGGUGCAAACGUUGUUCGGAAUUACUGGGCGUAAAGCGCGUGUAGGCGGCUCGGCAAGUCGGGUGUGAAAGCCCUGGGCUUAACCUAGGAAGUGCACUCGAAACUGCCAAGCUUGAGUUCUGGAGAGGAAGGCGGAAUUCUCGGUGUAGAGGUGAAAUUCGUAGAUAUCGAGAGGAACACCUGCGGCGAAGGCGGGUUGCUGGGCCGACACUGACGCUGAUGCGCGAAAGCCAGGGGAGCGAACGGG
rnacentral:rRNA from 1 species